rnacentral:rRNA from 1 species
UACGAAGGGUGCAAGCGUUACUCGGAAUUACUGGGCGUAAAGCGUGCGUAGGUGGUUCGUUAAGUCUGAUGUGAAAGCCCUGGGCUCAACCUGGGAAUGGCAUUGGAAACUGGCUUACUAGAGUGCGGUAGAGGGGUGUGGAAUUCCCGGUGUAGCAGUGAAAUGCGUAGAGAUCGGGAGGAACAUCAGUUGCGAAGGCGGGUUGCUGGGCCGACACUGACGCUGAGGCGCGAAAGCCAGGGGAGCGAACGGG